rnacentral:rRNA from 1 species
AAGUCGAGCGGACAGAAGGGAGCUUGCUCCCGGAUGUUAGCGGCGGACGGGUGAGUAACACGUGGGUAACCUGCCUGUAAGACUGGGAUAACUCCGGGAAACCGGAGCUAAUACCGGAUAGUUCCUUGAACCGCAUGGUUCAAGGAUGAAAGACGGUUUCGGCUGUCACUUACAGAUGGACCCGCGGCGCAUUAGCUAGUUGGUGAGGUAACGGCUCACCAAGGCGACGAUGCGUAGCCGACCUGAGAGGGUGAUCGGCCACACUGGGACUGAGACACGGCCCAGACUCCUACGGGAGGCAGCAGUAGGGAAUCUUCCGCAAUGGACGAAAGUCUGACGGAGCAACGCCGCGUGAGUGAUGAAGGUUUUCGGAUCGUAAAGCUCUGUUGUUAGGGAAGAACAAGUGCAAGAGUAACUGCUUGCACCUUGACGGUACCUAACCAGAAAGCCACGGCUAACUACGUGCCAGCAGCCGCGGUAAUACGUAGGUGGCAAGCGUUGUCCGGAAUUAUUGGGCGUAAAGGGCUCGCAGGCGGUUUCUUAAGUCUGAUGUGAAAGCCCCCGGCUCAACCGGGGAGGGUCAUUGGAAACUGGGAAACUUGAGUGCAGAAGAGGAGAGUGGAAUUCCACGUGUAGCGGUGAAAUGCGUAGAGAUGUGGAGGAACACCAGUGGCGAAGGCGACUCUCUGGUCUGUAACUGACGCUGAGGAGCGAAAGCGUGGGGAGCGAACAGGAUUAGAUACCCUGGUAGUCCACGCCGUAAACGAUGAGUGCUAAGUGUUAGGGGGUUUCCGCCCCUUAGUGCUGCAGCUAACGCAUUAAGCACUCCGCCUGGGGGGAGUACGGUCGCAAGACUGAAACUCAAAGGAAUUGACGGGGGGCCCCGCACAAGCGGUGG